rnacentral:rRNA from 1 species
AGAGUUUGAUCCUGGCUCAGAACGAACGCUGGCGGCAGGCCUAACACAUGCAAGUCGAGCGCGCUUUCGGGUGAGCGGCGGACGGGUUAGUAACGCGUGGGAACGUGCCCUUCUCUACGGAAUAGCCUCUGGAAACGGAGAGUAAUACCGUAUACGCCCUUUGGGGGAAAGAUUUAUCGGAGAAGGAUCGGCCCGCGUUAGAUUAGGUAGUUGGUGGGGUAAUGGCCUACCAAGCCUACGAUCUAUAGCUGGUUUUAGAGGAUGAUCAGCAACACUGGGACUGAGACACGGCCCAGACUCCUACGGGAGGCAGCAGUGGGGAAUCUUAGACAAUGGGGGCAACCCUGAUCUAGCCAUGCCGCGUGAGUGAUGAAGGCCUUAGGGUCGUAAAGCUCUUUCGCCUGUGAUGAUAAUGACAGUAGCAAGUAAAGAAACCCCGGCUAACUCCGUGCCAGCAGCCGCGGUAAUACGGAGGGGGUUAGCGUUGUUCGGAAUUACUGGGCGUAAAGCGCGCGUAGGCGGAUUAGAAAGUUGGGGGUGAAAUCCCGGGGCUCAACCUCGGAACUGCCUCCAAAACUGCUAGUCUAGAGUUCGAGAGAGGUGAGUGGAAUUCCGAGUGUAGAGGUGAAAUUCGUAGAUAUUCGGAGGAACACCAGUGGCGAAGGCGGCUCACUGGCUCGAUACUGACGCUGAGGUGCGAAAGUGUGGGGAGCAAACAGGAUUAGAUACCCUGGUAGUCCACACCGUAAACGAUGAAUGCCAGUCGUCGGGUAGUAUACUAUUCGGUGACACACCUAACGGAUUAAGCAUUCCGCCUGGGGAGUACGGUCGCAAGAUUAAAACUCAAAGGAAUUGACGG